AAACUACUUGGAUAUUAAAGGCUUACUGGAUGUCACCUGCAAGACUGUUGCAAAUAUGAUCAAGGGUAAAACUCCAGAAGAAAUUAGAAAGACCUUUAACAUAAAAAAUGACUUCACUGAAGAGGAAGAAGCACAGGUACGCAAAGAAAAUCAAUGGUGUGAAGAGAAGUGAAAUGGCAUGCAUGCUGUCACUGUAACACUGUAAGAAUUGUUCCAAAUAACUAGUUGCACUGCUCUGUUUAUAAUAGAGAAUUCAGCAGCUUAUCCUAUUAGCAGCAGGGAGUUUUGCUGCAUGUCAUUUUUCUUUAUACUCUUGUUUUCUUCCCUGAGUAAUGAUUCAGAAACUGUUUUUACAAUUGUAAUCUUGCGUUUUUUUUAAUUAUUUUUUUUCUUCAAACCUAUAUAAUAAAGCCGUAAUCUUUGUGCUUUAACAAUAAGUUGGUAUCCAAGUUGUCAUUUUGUUAUAGAAAAAACACAGUUCAUAAAUCAGUCCAAAAAAGAGGGGAACACAAUUUAUUAUCAUAGUUAACCAGUUAUGUUUUUAAAGGUUAUAAAGAACCCCUAAAUGUUACAUUUGGGCUACAGAUUUUCUAUUUGUACAUGGUAAAGAUGUAUGAAGACUAAAAGAUACAGAUCCUAACCUUUCCAAAACAAACUUUUACUCCCCUUUUUUAUAAUUUUCUUUAAUACCUUGAAGGCCUUCUGAAGUUUGCAGUUCAUUGUCUGUCUGCUUCUGUGGUCUAAAAAGUUAAGACCAACUGCUACCUUUUUUAACGUUCAAUUUUAAAUCCUCUUUCCAUGCAUCAACUCAGGAGAUUGUUUUAACAAUUCAAGAAGAACCUGUGUUUUUUUCCCCCUUCUCUUACUUGCCCUGUGUUAAUGUAUUUAUUUUUGGGAGGAUGGGAAGCUGUUCUGAGUGAUUUGAAUUUAGAUGGAGUAACAAACCACUAAAUCUUCCUCCUUUAUAUGAAAGGGUUCAGUUUACAGUCUUAUUAUCAGUGUUCUGAUGAAAAUGGCAGUCUUAUGUGUCCUCAUACCUUUCUAUUUUCACAUCUAUGCUAGAGAUGCAUGUAGUGUUGAUGUCCUUUUUGCUCUGAAGUUCUGAACAAAUAAAGUCCUACAUAAAUUGUGAUGUUCUUGUUUACUGUUCUGAUUAAGCUUCAAUAUAUGCUUCAUCCCACUGUUGUAUUGUGUUCAUUAUAAACUUAAUCUGUAUGGCAGGUUUGACCUUUCCUAAUAAAUUUACUUUAAAUAUUUGCUU